rnacentral:lncRNA from 1 species
GUCAGGCUGGGUUUCAGUUCACAGUUCAGAUUGCUGUGUCAUGGUGACAUGCAAACGUUUUAAAUUGCAUGUAAAUGUCUUUACUCUGGCAAGUGAUAGACAUUUGGACCUUGUGUUGCCAUCAAUGGGCUGAAAUGGGGUAUAACUGCAUCCACAGUCAGUCUGAUAUUCUUCCCAACACUUGGGGAUGGCUGUGUGCAGACACUGGGAGAGUAGAGGCCUGCUGGCUGCUUCAUCCAUGAUAUCACUGAUCCCAUCUGUGACUUCAGCUUGGGAUCUGAUGUGGAUCCUUAGGGUGGAAAAUUCCCGUGACCUGGUCAAUUUUAUCUGAAGGGAUGAAGGGUCGAUAUUUCCAUCCUCUACUCCUGUGUCUGCUGAAUGUUGGAACACUGCAUGUGUUUAAAGAGCCCCAAAGGGAAGGCAGAAGACUGAGAGUUUCAUUCUAAGCAAUGUGGAUGGACAUGAAACCAAUAAAUCAUCUUGAAAGUCAAGAAGGACCAUGUUUUCUUGAACUAUGGUGUGUUAGUCCAUGUGUGUGUCCUUUUGGGCCAAUCCUUACUCUUGCCUCCUGUAUAUUAUGUGC